CCUACGGGUGGCAGCGGUGGGGAAUAUUGGGCAAUGGGCGCAAGCCUGACCCAGCAACGCCGCGUGAAGGAAGAAGGCUUUCGUGUUGUAGACUUCUUUUCUCAGGUACGAAGCAAGUGCCGGUACCUGAGGAAUAAGCCACGGCUAACUACGUGCCAGCAGCCGCGGUAAUACGUAGGUGGCAAGCGUUCUCCGGAUUUACUGGGUGUAAAGGACGUCUAGGCGGGGACGCAAGUCAGGUGUGAAAACCAUGGGCUCAAACUGUGGCCUGCAUUUGAGACUGUGUGUCUUGAGUACUGGAGAGGCAGGCGGAAUGCCUAGUGUAGCGGUGAAAUGCGUAGAUAUUAGGAGGAAGGCAAGUGGCGAAGGCGGUCUGAUGGACAGCAACUGACGCUGAGGCGCGAAAGCGUGGGGAGCGAACAGGAUUAGAUACCCUUGUAGUC
rnacentral:rRNA from 1 species